rnacentral:rRNA from 1 species
UACGAAGGGGGCUAGCGUUGCUCGGAAUCACUGGGCGUAAAGCGCACGUAGGCGGAUUCCUAAGUCGGGGGUGAAAUCCUGGAGCUCAACUCCAGAACUGCCUUCGAUACUGGGAAUCUUGAGUCCGGAAGAGGUGAGUGGAAUUCCGAGUGUAGAGGUGAAAUUCGUAGAUAUUCGGAGGAACACCAGUGGCGAAGGCGGCUCACUGGUCCGGUACUGACGCUGAGGUGCGAAAGCGUGGGGAGCAAACAGG